rnacentral:lncRNA from 1 species
CAACACAAGGGAGCUGCCCUGCCUUCUCUCUAAUCCCAGCACCUAGAAUAGUGCCAGACACAUAGUACAUGCUCAGUUAAAUUUCUCAAAUGAAUGAGUGAACGAACCCAGGAAGGUUUCCCUUCUCCCUUCUUCUGGGUCCAUAGAACUCUCUUUACCCCUUCUCUUCCCACACAGAGGUUUACCAAGUGUUUCUUCCAUGGCCAGUUCACGUGUGGAUACCAAGGACUGGGCCGGGGACCCGUGGACUCAGCUGCGUCGUGGCACCAGGUUCAGAGACUCUGACAGUUGGAAACAUUGCAGAAUCAGAAGACAUCUGUUGAGUGUAGCACGAGUAUCUGCAAAACAGCGAUCAGGGCUGAAUGGUGUUAUUUCUGGACUCCUGGGUGCAGGUGUGAAGUCCCAGCAAGAAACAAAUUGCACUGAGCUCUUUGCAGCCACUUACUUGCUACAAGUUAAACACUCCAAGAGGCUGUUCUGGGAUAUGAUGCCUACCCUAACGCUGGCACUCUAUUUGCCCUGCUCUGUUUUAGAAGGUCAGACUCAGCCCAUCCACUAAGCCAUCCCACGGGCACCAUUCAGGGUGGUGGUAAACAUCCCAGGCUUUGGAGCGGACAGGACCGUGUGCAAGCCCCAGCUCCAUGACUCCAGCUGCGGGACUUUGGAGAAGUUGGAGGACUUCACCAGGUCUGUUGUCAUCUGUGUGAUGGGAAGAAUGACAUUCCCCUUGCCUAGUGCUGGGAUGAGAAGGGACUUACUUCAUGUGUACCAAAUGCUUCGUGUGCUGGUUACCAGGAUCCCUCUGACCUCGCUCUGCUUCCGAG